UACGGAGGGUGCAAACGUUGCUCGGAAUUAUUGGGCGUAAAGAGCUCGUAGGCGGUUUGUCACGUCUGCUGUGAAAACUGGAGGCUCAACCUCCAGCCUGCAGUGGGUACGGGCAGACUAGAGUGCGGUAGGGGAGAUUGGAAUUCCUGGUGUAGCGGUGGAAUGCGCAGAUAUCAGGAGGAACACCGAUGGCGAAGGCAGAUCUCUGGGCCGUAACUGACGCUGAGGAGCGAAAGCAUGGGGAGCGAACAGG
rnacentral:rRNA from 1 species